rnacentral:rRNA from 1 species
AAAUAUGCAAAGCUCAAAAUUAUUGCUAUUUUUGAUAUCAAACUAUAGGCUCUGAAGGUGCUGGGUGACGGUACUUGCAGAAAAAGCCCCGGCUAACUACGUGCCAGCAGCCGCGGUAAUACGUAGGGGGCAAGCGUUGUCCGGAUUUAUUGGGCGUAAAGCGUCCGUAGGCGGUCUAACAGGUCAUAUGUGAAAUCCCACGGCUUAACCGUGUAAUUGCAUGUGAAACCGUUAGACUAGAGUUCAGCAGAGGGAGAUGGAAUUCCAGGUGUAGCGGUGAAAUGUGUAGAUAACUGGAAGAACACCAGUAGCGAAGGCGGUCUCCUGGGCUGAUACUGACGCUGAGGGACGAAAGCUAGGGUAGCAAACAGGAUUAGAUACCCUGGUAGUCCUAGCUGUAAACGAUGGACACUAGGUAUUGGAGGUUAUCGACGCCUUCGGUGCCGCAGCUAACGCAUUAAGUGUCCCGCCUGGGGAGUACGGCCGCAAGGCUAAAACUCAAAGGAAUUGACGGGGACCCGCACAAGCGGUGGAGCAUGUGGCUCAAUUCGACGCAACGCGAAGAACCUUACCAGGGCUUGAAAUAUACGGAAAAACCUUUAGAGAUAAGGGUGUGUCUUCGGACGCCGUAUACAGGUGGUGCACGGUUGUCGUCAGCUCGUGUCGUGAGAUGUUGGGUUAAGUCCCGCAACGAGCGCAACCCCUAUCCUAUGUUGCCAG